UACAAAUGAUGUUUAUUCUCACGAUGGUCUUCCAAGCCUGCAGGGUUCUGACGACACUGCCUUUGGGCAAUACUGAUGCAGUCAA
rnacentral:snoRNA from 1 species